rnacentral:rRNA from 1 species
CCUACGGGAGACAGCAGUAGGGAAUCUUUCACAAUGGGCGAAAGCCUGAUGGAGCAACGCCGCGUGCAGGAUGAAGGCCUUCGGGUUGUAAACUGCUUUUAUAAGCGAGAAAUAUGAUGGUAACUUAUGAAUAAGGAUCGGCUAACUACGUGCCAGCAGCCGCGGUCAUACGUAGGAUCCGAGCAUUAUCCGGAGUGACUGGGUGUAAAGAGUUGCGUAGGUGGCAUAAUAAGUAGCUAGUGAAAUCUGGUGGCUCAACCAUUCAGACUAUUAGCUAAACUGUUAAGCUCGAGACCGUUAGGGGUAACUGGAAUUUCUAGUGUGGGAGUGAAAUCCGUAGAUAUUAGAAGGAACACCAAUAGCGUAGGCAGGUUGCUGGGACGGUUCUGACACUAAGGCACGAAAGCGUAGGGAGCAAACGGGAUUAGAUACCCUUGUAGUC